CCGAGUUUACAACUCCCAAACCCCUAUGUGAACGUUACCAAACUGUUGCCUCGGCGGGGUUAUUUCAUGCCCCGGGCGCGUCGCAGCCCCGGACCAAGGCGCCCGCCGGAGGACCAACCAAAACUCUUUUGUAUACCCCCUCGCGGGUUUUUAUAUCUGAGCCAUCUCGGCGCCUCUCGUAGGCGUUUCGAAAAUGAAUCA
rnacentral:misc_RNA from 1 species